rnacentral:tRNA from 1 species
GGCGCGAUAGUAGAGUGGCCCAUACGGGGGACUGCAAAUCCCCAGACGCUCGGUUCGAUUCCGGCUCGCGCCUCCA